rnacentral:rRNA from 1 species
GACGACGCUGGCGGCGUGGAUUAGGCAUGCAAGUCGAACGGUAUCAUCCUUUCGGGGGUGAGAGAGUGGCGAACUGGUGAGUAACACGUAGGUUAUCUACCCUCAAGGACGGGGACAACCCAGGGAAACUUGGGCUAAUACCGGAUGUGAGCAACUUUUAGUUGUUUGAAAGGUGGCGUAAGCUGUCGCUUGGGGAUGAGCCUGCGUCCUAUUAGUUAGUUGGUGAGGUAACGGCUCACCUAGGCAAUGAUAGGUAGGCGGCCUUAACGGGUGGUCGCCCACACUGGGAUUGAGAUACGGCCCAGACUCCUACGGGAGGCAGCAGUCGAGAAUAGUCUACAAUGGUCGGAAGACUGAUAGUGCGACGCCGCGUGAACGAUGAAUCCCUUCGGGGUGUAAAGUUCUUUUAUAUGUGAGCAGUGCUUCUUAUAUUAACAGUAUGGGGAGAGAGGUAUUAGCAUAUGAAUAAGCAACGGCUAACUCCGUG